UACAGAGGUCUCAAGCGUUGUUCGGAUUCAUUGGGCGUAAAGGGUGCGUAGGCGGCGCGGUAAGUCGGGUGUGAAAUCUCGGUGCUUAACUCCGAAACUGCAUUCGAUACUGCCGUGCUUGAGGACUGGAGAGGAGACUGGAAUUUACGGUGUAGCGGUGAAAUGCGUAGAUAUCGUAAGGAAGACCAGUGGCGAAGGCGGGUCUCUGGACAGUUCCUGACGCUGAGGCACGAAGGUCAGGGGAGCAAACGGG
rnacentral:rRNA from 1 species